rnacentral:tRNA from 1 species
AAGGGAGACCUAAUUCCGGUAGGAGACGAAAAAAAAGUAGUCCCUACCAAGAAUCAAUCCCAAAAGGUCGGAGCGAGGCAAAAUUGGCUUUCAAACUAGGUUCUGGGUUCACACAAGACCUGAAUCAGGAACAAGGGCUAUUAGCUCAGGUGGUUAGAGCGCACCCCUGAUAAGGGUGAGGUCCCUGGUUCGAGUCCAGGAUGGCCCACCUGUACAGGUGGCAAAAAGAAAGAAAAGAAGCGAGGAAUCAGCACCUUAUCUUACUUAUAUAGUAAGAGAGAAUGCUGGCUCUGAGUUCAGAGUCCAGAGGAACCUUGAAAACUGCAUAGAGCUAGGUGAAAAAGCCAAAAAAGAAGACCGCAA